rnacentral:rRNA from 1 species
CAGACAGCUCAGUAACACGUGGCUAACCUGCCCUUAGGAUGGGAACAACCCCGGGAAACUGGGGCUAACUCUCGAUAGGCGAAGAACUCUGGAACGAGUCUUCACCCAAACAGUUUAAAGUUAUGCUCUUUAAACUGCCCAAGGAUGGGGCCGCGACCGAUCAGGUUGUUGGUGAGGUAAUGGCUCACCAAGCCUUUUACCGGUGCGGGCCGUGGGAGCGGGAGCCCGGAGAUGGGCACUGAGACAAGGGCCCAGGCCCUACGGGGCGCAGCAGUCGCGAAAACUUUGCAAUAAGCGAAAGCUUGACAGGGCUAUCCCGAGUGCCAUCCGCUGAGGAAGGCUUUUACCCAGUCUAGAACGCUGGGGGAAUAAGGAGAGGGCAAGUCUGGUGUCAGCCGCCGCGGUAAUACCAGCUCUCCGAGUGGUGUGGAUGUUUAUUGGGCCUAAAGCAUCCGUAGCUGGCUAGGUUAGUCCCCUGUUAAAUCCACCGAAUUAAUCGUUGGAUUGCGGGGGAUACUGCUUGGCUAGGGGACGAGAGAGGCAGACGGUAUUUCCGGGGUAGGGGUGAAAUCCUAUAAUCCCGGGAAGACCACCAGUGGCGAAGGCUGUCUGCUAGAACGCGCCCGACGGUGAGGGAUGAAAGCUGGGGGAGCGAACC